rnacentral:rRNA from 1 species
AUUAGACGAAUCAUCUGGAAAGAUGAAUCAAAGAAGGUAAUAAUCCUGUAGUCGAAAAUGUUGUCUCUCUUGAGUGGAUCCUGAGUACGACGGAGCACGUGAAAUUCCGUCGGAAUCUGGGAGGACCAUCUCCUAAGGCUAAAUACUCUCUAGUGACCGAUAGUGAACCAGUACCGUGAGGGAAAGGUGAAAAGCACCCCGGAAGGGGAGUGAAAUAGAACCUGAAACCGUGUGCUUACAAGUAGUCAGAGCCCGUUAAUGGGUGAUGGCGUGCCUUUUGUAGAAUGAACCGGCGAGUUACGAUUUGAUGCAAGGUUAAGCAGUAAAUGUGGAGCCGUAGCGAAAGCGAGUCUGAAUAGGGCGUUUAGUAUUUGGUCGUAGACCCGAAACCAGGUGAUCUACCCUUGGUCAGGUUGAAGUUCAGGUAACACUGAAUGGAGGACCGAACCGACUUACGUUGAAAAGUGAGCGGAUGAACUGAGGGUAGCGGAGAAAUUCCAAUCGAACCUGGAGAUAGCUGGUUCUCUCCGAAAUAGCUUUAGGGCUAGCCUCAAGUGAUGAUUAUUGGAGGUAGAGCACUGUUUGGACGAGGGGCCCCUCUCGGGUUACCGAAUUCAGACAAACUCCGAAUGCCAAUUAAUUUAACUUGGGAGUCAGAACAUGGGUGAUAAGGUCCGUGUUCGAAAGGGAAACAGCCCAGACCACCAGCUAAGGUCCCAAAAUAUAUGUUAAGUGGAAAAGGAUGUGGCGUUGCCCAGACAACUAGGAUGUUGGCUUAGAAGCAGCCAUCAUUUAAAGAGUGCGUAAUAGCUCACUAGUCGAGUGACACUGCGCCGAAAAUGUACCGGGGCUAAACAUAUUACCGAAGCUGUGGAUUGUCCUUUGGACAAUGGUAGGAGAGCGUUCUAAGGGCGUUGAAGCAUGAUCGUAAGGACAUGUGGAGCGCUUAGAAGUGAGAAUGCCGGUGUGAGUAGCGAAAGACGGGUGAGAAUCCCGUCCACCGAUUGACUAAGGUUUCCAGAGGAAGGCUCGUCCGCUCUGGGUUAGUCGGGUCCUAAGCUGAGGCCGACAGGCGUAGGCGAUGGAUAACAGGUUGAUAUUCCUGUACCACCUAUAAUCGUUUUAAUCGAUGGGGGGACGCAGUAGGAUAGGCGAAGCGUGCGAUUGGAUUGCACGUCUAAGCAGUAAGGCUGAGUAUUAGGCAAAU